UACGUAGGGAGCAAGCGUUGUCCGGAAUCAUUGGCGUAAAGCGCGCGUAGGUGGCUUCGUAAGUCCGCUGUGAAAGUCAAAGGCUCAACCUUUGAAAGCCGGUGGAUACUGCGGAGCUAGAGUCCGGAAGAGGCGAGUGGAAUUCCUGGUGUAGCGGUGGAAUGCGCAGAUAUCAGGAGGAACACCAAUAGCGAAGGCAGCUCGCUGGGACGGUACUGACACUGAGGCGCGAAAGCGUGGGGAGCGAACGG
rnacentral:rRNA from 1 species